rnacentral:sRNA from 1 species
GGAAAAUUGAUCGAAAUGUCAAUAUCAAUGGAUGACAGAGGGAACAAUAGUGGAGAAGUUGGAGAAUGUGAGUCAUCACGAACUAUUUCGUUAUGAAAUUUCGUUAUUUGAAUUCAAUUUAUUUUAUCAUUUCAGUUGCCAGUUCAUCAAUGAUACAAGAAUCAAUAGAUCUCAAAUUGUUAGCCGCAGAAAGUCUUAUUUGGACAGGUUGGAAUUGAUUUUUUAACAAUUAUAAUGUGAGGAAUUACAGAGAAAAAUGUGACAUACUUCGGACCACUUGGAAAAUUUCCAGGUAAAAUCGUAAUUACUAGGUAUCGAAUGGUUUUUCUCGUUGGUGAUGGUGGAAAAAUGUAUGAGGUUUGUGAUUAAAAUUUUAAAAUUAUAUUUUACAAAUAUAAACAAAAAAUUUCAGCAAUGGAAGCUCGAUAUUCCACUCGGACAAGUGUCUCGGAUAGAAAAAGUUGGUAGAAAGACGACGAGUGUUGCCAAACGAGGCGAUGAUAAUUAUGGAUUCACAAUUUAUUGUAAAGAUUAUCGAGUUUAUCGAUUUACAUGUAAUCCAGCAUCGAGUGAUAGAAAAAAUGUUUGCGAUUCGUUGAAUAGAUACGCUUUUCCGCUAUCGCAUAAUUUG